AUACGUAGGUGGCAAGCGUUGUCCGGAUUUACUGGGCGUAAAGGGUGCGUAGGCGGAUGUUUAAGUGAGAUGUGAAAUCCCCGGGCUUAACCUGGGGGCUGCAUUUCAAACUGGAUAUCUAGAGUGCAGGAGAGGAGAAUGGAAUUCCUAGUGUAGCGGUGAAAUGCGUAGAGAUUAGGAAGAACACCAGUGGCGAAGGCGAUUCUCUGGACUGUAACUGACGCUGAGGCACGAAAGCGUGGGUAGCAAACAGGAUUAGAUACCCUGGUAGUCCACGCCGUAAACGAUGAGUACUAGGUGUAGGAGGUAUCGACCCCUUCUGUGCCGCAGUUAACACAAUAAGUACUCCGCCUGGGAAGUACGAUCGCAAGAUUAAA
rnacentral:rRNA from 1 species